AAAAAACCCCUCAUUUUCGUCACGAGGGAGAUCAAUUUUACCUUCUUUAAGAACCGACAAGUGGGAUUGGACUGGAUGAUACCGAACUAGACUGGACUGUGGUCCUCGUUAAUAAUAAUAAGGACCAACACAAGACUACUCACCACCUCAAACUUCUGCAUCUAGGAAAUCUGAGAUGCGCUGUCUUUGGGAUGUUAACUCAUUCAUGAUGACGAGAUGAAGAAAUAUUAAGGCAAAGAGAGAACAUCUAAAUAUUAAGUGAAAAAGUGAAACUGUUAAUUUAUUGGAGAGUUAUUUGUGUAUGCCCCUAUUGGAUUCCUAGUAGAAUUGAAGAUCGACAUCGGAGUAUUUUUUCCAAUGGAUCUGCUAGAAUUUUCAGGGUACCGAGUGAAAGAACAUAGCCUACUUUUUCCAAAGAUCAAUUAAAAAA
rnacentral:lncRNA from 1 species